UAUCCAUGAUGUGGGUAAGAGUUUAAUAGUCUUUAAAUCUCUCCCAACUUUGGAAGAAGGUCUCUUCUUUUUUUUGGGAGAAAUUCAUUAUCGCCCUCCUCAGGAU